GCCCAGCUAUUUUUUGUAUUUUUAUUAGAGACGGGGUUUCACCGUGUUGGUCAGGAUAGUCUCGAUCUCUUCACCUUGUGAUCCGCCCCCCUCGGCCUCCCAAAGUGCUGGGAUUACAGGCGUGAGCCACCGCGCCUGGUCCCCACAACACACAGAUCUCACAGAGGCAGUCCAGAAUCUGGACCCCGAUUUGAUGGUUUCCUUGCCCGGGGCUGUACCCACCCAGAAAAGGAACCUCCCCGGCUUCCGUGGCCCGGCCCAGUAGUUCUGCUCCCCCCACGUCGCAACCCCCACUCCCGGAGGGGAGCGAACAGGCAGCGGCUCUUCGCCGCUCUCAGCCUCUGCAUCCUUCGGCCUGGCUCACCGUCCUGCCAAGAGAGACCUGAUAUCCCAUCUCAGAGCCCCGGGGCUGUUGCUAUUUCUGCGUGACGGAAUUAAACCAGCCUAAAUUAGAAGGGACAGAGGGCACCUCCCGUGCGACAGGCGCUGUGCUGGGAGCUUCAUUUCAUCCCCAGAACACGAGGUGUCUAUGAACAUCGCAGCCUGGACGGAUGAGGCGCUUCGCCUUCGACAGCAGAGCAGGCCCUGACACCAGCCUCUGUCUUGGGCAAAAGCGGCUUCGGCUGCCCACACUCAGCCCCACUGUCAAGAGGGAGCUUCAUGAAACAGCCCCCGAAGCAACGCCUGCCCCGACUCAGUGCCUGUCUCAUCUCCCUGGGCUCCAGCCACAGAGAAAACUUCCCUGGGGUCUCUUGCUGCGCCUGGAUAGGACCUGCUCCCUAGUCGAGGCUCCGUAUGUGCUGUUCUGUAUCCCCAUAGCUGUGGCCAGCUCUCGCACACUGCGAUGACACAAAGAAGACUUUUUUUUUUUUUUGAGAUCGAGUCUCACUCUGUCGCCCAGGCUGGAGUGCAGUGGCCUCAUCCUCCCGAGUAGCUGGGAUUACAGGUGUUUGCCACCACCUCCGGCUAAUUUUUGUGUUUUUAGUAGAGAUGGGGUUUUGCCAUGUUGGCCAGGCAGGUCUUAAACUGCCAACCUCAGGUGAUCUGCCUGCCUUGGCCUCCCAGAGUGCUGGGAUUCCAGGCAUGAGUCACUACGCCUGACCCAGAGAGACCUCUGUCCUCCUUUGGUCUCCCUUAGAAUCAUCCACUGCAUUCUUGCCCACCUGUCUCUCCCAGGCCAGAUGAAGUCUCCACAGGAUUCUGGCCCAUAACUGGGGGAUGGAGGACGGAGCCUCAUUAACAAGGCCUUGCUGCCCAUUCUUCUAGAGAUGUGACCCCAGAGCCACCUCUUGGCUCUUGCAACUCCUGGAGCCCGCGCAUGGCUUAGACAGCCUCCCCUCCCGCUCUGCCUCUCACCUGGCUGGUAGACAGAAGGCCGGAUGCUGGCAGUGGUGACAACCCGGGGCUUGGGUGGAGGGGCGGCAGGACCCUCACUGUAGCUGGCGUGGGUGGCAGGUGCUGAAGAGGUGGCCGCUGCGGGGCCAUAGGAAGAAGUCUGGGGCCUGGAACCAAGGGGGGAAGAGUUAUAGCAAGAAGGACAGCCCCCACUGGGGCCUGCAGCCAAGGCAGGCUGGCUCCUGGGUCUUCAGAAGCCCUUGUGAGGACACUUGACAGAGACAUCCCUGGGGAGCUGCCUGAAACUGUGGCGGAAGGACCACAGGGGUCUUGGAGGGGAGGAGGGUGUUCCUUGGGUAGCUAGUGCCACCGCCUUUGGAGAGAGGGAGGAAGCCACCAGCCAGACAGGAGGACACUGGGAAGAUCCUUCACUCAUGGAGACUGCCGGGGCAGGACUGUGGAAGAGCCCAGGGGAGAGGAGAUGGCCCUGGUCAGAACUACCUACCCCCUUGACCUCGUGGGGUAACCACAUGGCCUCUUCUGCCUACCCUUUUCUAUUGUUGCUGAAAGGAACAGCAAAAUCUCAGGUUUCUGGGCACAGAUGCUUGGGGGAAGUCAGGAGCUCCCCACCUCCCCACAAGGCCACUCCCCACAACCAAUACACACACCUCUUCUGCAUAGAAUUCCUGUCGCCUUCCUCCAACUGGGUUAGUUGUCAAGGGGCCUAGGGUCACCUUUCCCUGUCUGUGGCCCAGGGACAGUGGGGUCAAAGAGAUGGAAAAAAAUAAAAGUGUCCUAGUUCAUUACCCUCAGGAGAGUCUGUGCAUGGCCUCUCCUCCCGGAGAGCUGAAGGUGCUGAGAACUGGAAUCCAGCAGCCUGUUAAGCCUUGUCUGAUCCAGUGUUCCCAAACUGUAUUUGUUUGUAAAACCUUUUUCUUCUUCAUUUAAAACUAAUGAAUGCCUUGCAGAACAUGUCCCUGGUCUUUCAGAUCUCAAAGGGGAUCACAUGCCCACACCCAGGGAAAAUGGGUCAUUCUGGAGGUGCUGGAGAAGUGAGCCCUGCCUGCCAGCCCCCCAUGGUUUCCUGCCUUCCUUCUGUCUGUUCCUCAAGGGCCUGGGGCCUGCUGAUCCCUGCUGGGCAGAGCUGUAGGGUAAGUGCCUUUCUUUCCAGGGCUCUGAGAAGGGGGUGGUCCUGGGAUAAGAACCAAACUUCUGAGUGGAUCCAGAGAGCUCCGAGGGGCUGUCCCAGACAAGGCAGAGGUAAAAUGACCUCAGGGAGCCUGUGGCAUCCCAGACCUGGGGGCUGUGCACACUUGCCCUGUCAAGCUGCUGAGUUUCUGGCUGAGUGAAGCCAUUGUCUCCCCUCCCCAGGCCCACCUGCCCUUCUCUGGAUAGAUUCCUGUGCUGAGACCAGCAGAGUUGAGGUCUCCAUGGAAGAGGAAGAGACAGUGUCCAAGGGGUGCGGGGCUUCCAUGGUGACUGGGGGUGGGCCAAGGGGCAGUGGUCUUGGCUGGGAUCCAUCAGUGGAGGACACUUUGCUCGCAGCCCAGGAGCUACAGCUCCUGAGUAGGGACUGGCAAUGGGAAAGGCAGCAGUGAGCAGUGAAAAUUUAUGGCAUCCAGUGAAAAUUCUGAAGUCAUGCCCCCAUUAAAGGCUGGGGUAUUCACUUGCCUCCCAUGGACUCCCUCAGCUCCAGCUCCACCCCGGCCCUUGUGCGAGGAGCGGAGGUUGCUUUGCUCAGAGUGCAACCUUGUGACCCCUUCUGCUCCAGCCCCACUCCCUGCUGGGCAGCACGGUGCUGCUCUCCAAGCUCCACCCAGGCCCCAGCUCUCCUGCAAGGCAAAGGGAAGGGAGGGAGGACUCCAGGAGCUUUGCGGUGAGCAGGCCCAGGAUAGUGAGACCUGAGCUUGGUGCUGGUGCCUGCCUUUGAGCAGGGUUGGGGCCCCAGGGAUGGUUGCCUGUAGGGCUCCUGUGUCUAUAGCCCCCCACCAUUCAAAUUAGGAGGCUUCUUCCCGCUCAACAACAGGGACAUUUCUUGCCCUCCUCAAAGUCUCUUCAUUAUGCAAGUAGCAAGGCCAUUAUGUGAAGAGAGUCUGGUAUAGAGAGAGGAAGUAGCGUCCUAAAUCCCCCCAGGAAACUGGGAUGAAGCCACCCCUGGAAACCCAGGGCUAGGCUCCUCCUUCAGGCUUGAAUUGGGCUGGGGAAAGGCUGGGCUUGGCACCAUGUGGGUCACGUGAAGCCUGGGAUGGGGGCAGCAGACAGGCCUUCAAGCCAGUUUUCCCACAUCAGUCCCACCUUAGGCUGCACCGUGGACCUACCCAUCCUAAUCCAAGAUGCAUGUCAUCCCCAUCAAACCCUGGGGGCCAGGGUGGGAGGCUGGGACACCUGGGCUCUGACCCCAAACACUAACUGGCUGACCCUUGGAAGCCCAGACAGAGAGCUGGCUCCAUGUAGCCUGAUGUGCCACAUGCCACUACAGAGUGACCUGCCAGCCUGACCCCUCUGCCUCUUCUUUUCUCCCCUGGCCUUUGGUCUCUGCCUUGCUGGGUGUCUAGAAGGGCAGGUUGGGAUGAAGGAACUCACAAUACUUGUUCCUUUGUGUUUGGUGUUUUACAGACUUUUUUUCUCUCAUAACCCUAUAUAAUAGGUGUUUGGUAAACAUCUUAAUAGACGAGGAAACUGAGGUUCGGAGAGCUUCAGUUACUUUUUCAAGGUUACAUGCAGUAAGCUGUGGAGCUUACUUUCAAAUCGUAUUAUACCAGGUGUCUCUGGUGUUAGCAUCCUUCUCCGAAGAGAGCAGAGGGGAAGUGGGAAGUUCAUGGCUAAACUCUCUGACCAAAUCCUACCUGCCUUCCAUGCCCAGUUCAACGCUCCCUCAUCCAGGGAGCCCUCCUUGAUUUCUCCAGCCCACAAAGACAACCUUUAUUCUACCUAAUUUGAAUUCCAGGAACAAAGACUUUCCACACAGUC